GAAACACCGGUUUCCGUACGAUAUCCCGAAGUUAAGCAACGUGGAUCCUGCUUAGUAUUUAGAUGGGUGACCGCUUGGGAAUACCAGGUACU